UCUCCGUAGGUGAACCUGCGGAGGGAUCAUUACUGAGUGAGGGCUUCGGUCCGACCUCCAACCCUUUGUGAACCAAACUUGUUGCUUCGGGGGCGACCCUGCCGCUUCGGCGGUGCGGCGCCCCCGGAGGCCAUUAAACACUGCAUCAUUGCGUCGGAGUUAAAGUAAAUUAUACAAAACUUUCAAAAACGGAUCUCUUGGUUGCAGCAUCGAUGAAGAACGGAGC
rnacentral:misc_RNA from 1 species